rnacentral:rRNA from 1 species
AGAGUUUGAUCCUGGCUCAGAGCGAACGCUGGCGGCAGGCUUAACACAUGCAAGUCGAACGCCCGUAGCAAUACGGGGGUGGCAGACGGGUGAGUAACGCGUGGGAACAUGCCCUUUGGUUCGGAAUAACUCAGGGAAACUUGAGCUAAUACCGGAUAAGCCCUAACGGGGAAAGAUUUAUCGCCGAAGGAUUGGCCCGCGUCCGAUUAGCUAGUUGGUGAGGUAAUGGCUCACCAAGGCGACGAUCGGUAGCUGGUCUGAGAGGAUGAUCAGCCACACUGGGACUGAGACACGGCCCAGACUCCUACGGGAGGCAGCAGUGGGGAAUAUUGGACAAUGGGGGCAACCCUGAUCCAGCCAUGCCGCGUGAGUGAUGAAAGCCCUAGGGUUGUAAAGCUCUUUCACGGGGACGAUAAUGACGGUACCAGUGAAGAAGCCCCGGCUAACUUCUGUGCCAGCAGCCGCGGUA